GACGAACGCUGGCGGCGUGCUUAACACAUGCAAGUCGAACGGAAAGGCCCUGCUUUUGUGGGGUGCUCGAGUGGCGAACGGGUGAGUAACACGUGAGUAACCUGCCCUUGACUUUGGGAUAACUUCAGGAAACUGGGGCUAAUACCGGAUAGGAGCUCCUGCUGCAUGGUGGGGGUUGGAAAGUUUCGGCGGUUGGGGAUGGACUCGCGGCUUAUCAGCUUGUUGGUGGGGGAGUGGCUUACCAAGGCUUUGACGGGUAGCCGGCCUGAGAGGGUGACCGGCCACAUGGGGACUGAGAUACGGCCCAGACUGCUACGGGAGGCAACAGUGGGGAAUAUUGCACAAUGGGCGGAAGCCUGAUGAAGCAACGCCGCGUGCGGGAUGACCGCCUUCGGGUUGUAAACCGCUUUCGCCUGUGACGAAGCGUGAGUGACGGUAAUGGGUAAAGAAGCACCGGCUAACUACGUG
rnacentral:rRNA from 1 species